UACGUAGGGUGCAAGCGUUGUCCGGAAUUACUGGGCGUAAAGGGCUCGUAGGUGGCCAACUAAGUCAGACGUGAAAUCCCCAGGCUCAACUUGGGAACUGCGUCUAAUACUGGAUGGCUUGAAUUCGGGAGAGGGAUGCAGAAUUCCAGGUGUAGCGGUGAAAUGCGUAGAUAUCUGGAGGAAUACCGGUGGCGAAGGCGGCAUCCUGGACCGAGAUUGACACUGAUGAGCGAAAGCUAGGGGAGCAAACGGG
rnacentral:rRNA from 1 species